GGGGAGAGGGGCGGGGCGAUGGGGAGUGACGUCACUGGGGAGGGCGUUGGGUGUGACGUCAUGGGGUGGUGAUGUCAUUGGAUGAUGUCAUUGGGCAGGGAUGUAAUUGGAUGAUGCCAUUGGGCUGUGAUGUCAUUGGGUGAUGUCAUUGGGUGAUGUACUGGGUGACACUGUGGGACGGUGACGUCAUUGGGCUGUGAUGUCAUUGGGCUGUGAUGUCAUUGGGCUGUGAUGUCAUUGGACUGUGAUGUCAUUGGACUGUGAUGUCAUUGGGUGACGUCAUGAGGCGGCGAUGUGCUGGGUGACGUUGUGGGACGGUGACGUCAUUGGAGAGUGAUGUCAUUGGGCCGUGACGUCAUUGGGCGAUUGUGUCAUUGGAUGAUGUCAUUGGGCUGUGAUGUCAUUGGAUGAUAUCAUUGGGUGGUGAUGUCAUUGGGCGGUGAUGUCAUUGGAUGAUGUCAUUGGGUGGUGAUGUCAUUGGAUGAUGUCAUUGGAUGAUGUCAUUGGGCAAUGAUGCCAUUGGACGAUGUCAUUGAGUGAUGUCAUUGGGCAGUGAUGUCAUUGGAUGAUGUCAUUGGGCGGUGAUGUCAUUGGAGUGACGUCAUGGGGUGAUGACCCGGACACGGGGACAGUGACACCCGGACACGGGGACAGUGACACCCGGACACGGGGACAGUGACACGGGGAACAGUGACACUCGGACACGGGGACAGUGACACAGGGACAGUGACACCCGGACACGGGGACAGUGACACGGGGACAGUGACACCCGGACACGGGGACAGUGACACCGGGACAGUGACACGGCUGUCACCUGGGCCUGGCACGAUGACCCUGAUGUCACUCAGGUGUGUUCCAGGUGUCCCUCGGGUGUCACCUGGAUGUCCCUGGUGUCACUCAGGUGUGUCCCAAGUGUCCCAAGUGUCCCCCAGGUGUCCCCCGGGUGUCUCAGGUGUCCCCCAGGUGUCCCUCAGGUGUCCCAGGUGUCCCCCAGGUGUCCCCCAGGUGUCCCCUGGGUGUCUCAGGUGUCACCUGGAUGUCCCUGGUGUCCCCCAGGUGUCACCCAGGUGUCUCAGGUGUUCCCCAGGUGUCUCAGGUGUCCCCCAGGUGUCUCAGGUGUGUCCCUCAGGUGUCCCCCAGGUGUGUCUCAGGUGUCACCCAGGUGUCCCCCAGGUGUCUCAGGUGUCCCUCAGGUGUCCCUGGUGUCCCUCAGGUGUCACCCCCCAAUAAAGUCCCCAGUGCUGGUGACACCGCGGUGGCUUCAUCUGGGGGAGGGGACCCCAAAAAUGGGGAGAGGGGACAUUGGGGACCCCAAAAAUGGGGAUGGGACCCCCAAAAUUGGGAUUGGGACAAUUUGGGGACCCCAAAAAUGGGGAUGGGACCCCCAAAAUUGGGAUUGGGACGAUUUGGGGACCCCAAAAAUUGGGAUGGGGACAUUGAGGACCCCCAAAAAUGGGGAGGGGACCCCAAAAAUUGAGAUUGGGACAUUUUGGGGACCCCAAAAAUGGGGAGAGGACCCCAAAAAAUGGGAUGGGGACAUUGAGGACCCCCAAAAAUGGGAAGGGGACCCCAAAAAUUGGGAUUGGGACAAUUUGGGGACCCCAAAAAUGGGGAGAGGGGACAUUGGGGACCCCAAAAAUGGGGAUGGGACCCCCAAAAUUGGGAUUGGGACAAUUUGGGGACCCCAAAAAUUGGGAUGGGGAAAUUCUGGGGACCCCAAAAAUGGGGAUGGGACCCCAAAAAUGGGAUGGGGACAAUUUGGGGACCCCAAAAAUUGGGAGACCCCAAAAAUGGGAUUGGGACCCCAAAAUUGGGACUGGGACAAUUUGGGGACCCCAAAAAUGGGGAGAGGGGACAUUGGGGACCCCAAAAAUGGGAUUGGGACAUUCUGGGGACCCCAAAAAUUGGGAUUGGGACAUUGAGGACUCCCAAAAAUUUGGGAUGGGACCCCAAAAAUGGGAUGGGGACCCCAAAAAUUGGGAUUGGGACAAUUUGGGGACCCCAAAAAUGGGGAGGGGACCCCAAAAAAUGGGGAGAGGACCCCAAAAAUUGGGAUUGGGACAUUCUGGGGACCCCAAAAAUUGGGAUUGGGACAUUGAGAACCCCCAAAAAUUUGGGAUGGGACCCCAAAAAUGGGAUGGGGACAAUUUGGGGACCCCAAAAAUGGGGAGAGGGGACAUUGGGGACCCCAAAAAUGGGGAUGGGACCCCAAAAAUUGGGAUUGGGACAAUUUGGGGUCCCCAAAAAUUGGGAUGGGGACAUUGAGGACCCCCAAAAAUGGGGAGAGGACCCCAAAAUUGGGACUGGGACAUUUUGGGGACCCCAAAAAUUUGGAUUGGGACAAUUUGGGGACCCCAAAAAUGGGGAUGGGACCCCCAAAAUGGGAUGGGGACAAUUUGGGGACCCCAAAAAUUUGGGAUGGGACCCCAAAAUUGGGGACAAAGCCUCUCAGACACCCCGAAAUCUCCGCUCCCAAAAUUUUAUUUCCUGAACCUUUCCAGGGCUCCCCUUUUUUGGGGGGAUCCCCCCAAAUUCCGGCCGGGAAUCCCCUCCUUCCCUUUCCCGGGAUUUUUGGGCUUUCCCCGCCUUUUUCCCACUUUUUUUUGGGAUUUUUCCGGGGUUUUUUUCCCAAUUUUUGGGGAUUUUUCUCCCAAUUUUUCUCCAAUUUUUUGGGAUUUUUCCGGGGUUUUUUUCCCAAUUUUUGGGAAUUUUUCCAGGGUUUUUUCCCCAAUUUUUUGGGAUUUUUCUCCCAUUUUUUCCCCAAUUUUUUGGGAUUUUUCUCCCAAUUUUCCCCCAAUUUUUUGGGACUUUUCUCCCAAUUUUUCUCCAAUUUUUUUUGAUUUUUCUCCCAUUUUUUCCCCAAUUUUGGGGGAUUUUUCUCCCAUUUUUUCCCCAAUUUUUGGGGAUUUUUCUCCCAUUUUUUCCCCAAUUUUUUGGGAUUUUUCUCCCAAUUUUUCCCCAAUUUUUUGGGAUUUUUCUCCCAACUUUUCCCCAAUUUUUUGGGAUUUUUCUCCCAUUUUUUCCAUGAUUUUUUGGGAUUUUUCUCCCAACUUUUCUCCAAUUUUUGGGAAUUUUUCUCCCAUUUUUUCCAUGAUUUUUGGGGAUUUUUCUCCCAUUUUUUCCCCAAUUUUUUGGGAUUUUUCUCCCAUUUUUUCCCCGUUUUUCUGGGAUUUUCCCAUCAUUUUUCCCCCAUUUUUUUGAAGGAUUUCUCCCGUUUUUCCCGCGGAUUUUGGGGAUUUUCCCGCCAUUUUUCCCGCGGAUUUUGGGGGUUUUCCCGCCAUUUUUCCCGCGGAUUUUGGGGGUUUUCCCGCCGUUUUUUUCCCGGUUUUUUGGAGGAUUUUUCCCGUUUUUUCCCCGUUUUUCCUCUCCUUUUUCCUCCUUUUCCUGGGGGGUUCCCCCUCCUCGUUUUUCUCCUUCUGCUCCAAACUCUGCCGGAUCCGGGCCUGGGGGAGGAGGGGGGAAAAAUUCGGGAAUUCCCAAAAUUUGGGAAUUCCCAAAAUCCUGGGAACCCCCCCCCAAAAAAAAAGUUUGGGAAUUUCCUCAAAAAUUCCAGGAAUUCCCUGGGAAACUCUUCCCAAAUUUUUGGGGUUUUUGUUUUGGGGAUGGAGGGUGAGGACACCCAGGAAUUCCUGAAGAAUUCCCAAAAAAAAUUCCCAAAAAUUCCCCCCAAAAUUUCCCAAAAAAUCCCCCCAAAAAUCAAAAAAAAUCCCCCAAAAAUCCCUAAAAAAUUCCCAAAAAAUCCCAAAAAACUCCCAAAAAAUCCCCCAAAAAAUCCCCAAAAACCCCAAAAAAUCCCCAAAAAUUCCCAAAAAAUUCCCCCCCCCAAAAAUAUAAAAAAACCCAAAAAAAAUCCCAGAAGAAAACCAAAAAAUUCCCAAAAAAUCCCCCAAAAAUCCCAAAAAAAUUCCCAAAAAAUCCCCCCAAAAUUCCCAAAAAAUCCCCAAAAAAUUCCCAAAAAAUAAAAAAAAAUUUCCCCAAAAAUCCCCUCA
ensembl:lncRNA